UACCAGCUCAGCACAUUUGUGUACCAAUCACCAUUUGUCAUAUAGAGAUGCUGGGAGAAGCUGUUGCCAA
rnacentral:lncRNA from 1 species